rnacentral:rRNA from 1 species
AGUGGCGAACGGUGGAGUAAUACGUGAGUAACCUGCCCCUGUCUUUGGGAUAAGCCUGGGAAACUGGGUCUAAUACUGGAUAUUUUGCUUGAACCGCAUGGUUUUUGUUGGAAAGGUUUUUUCGGAUGGGGAUGGGCUCACGGCCUAUCAGCUUGUUGGUGGGGUGAUGGCCUACCAAGGCGUCGACGGGUAGCCGGCCUGAGAGGGUGACCGGCCACAUUGGGACUGAGAUACGGCUCAGACUCCUACGGGAGGCAGCAGUGGGGAAUAUUGCACAAUGGACGCAAGUCUGAUGCAGCGACGCCGCGUGGGGGAUGAAGGCUUUCGGGUUGUAAACUCCUUUCAGUACAGAAGAAGCGAAAGUGACGGUAUGUGCAGAAGAAGCACCGGCUAACUACGUGCCAGCAGCCGCGGUAAUACGUAGGGUGCGAGCGUUGUCCGGAAUUAUUGGGCGUAAAGAGCUCGUAGGCGGUUUGUUGCGCCUGCUGUGAAAACCUGGGGCUUAACUUCGGGAUUGCAGUGGGUACGGGCAGACUAGAGUGUGGUAGGGGUAAUUGGAAUUCCUGGUGUAGCGGUGGAAUGCGCAGAUAUCAGGAGGAACACCGAUGGCGAAGGCAGGUUACUGGGCCACCACUGACGCUGAGGAGCGAAGACGUGGGUAGCGAACAGGAUUAGAUACCCUGGUAGUCCACGCCGUAAACGUUGGGCACUGGGUGUGGGGCCUUUCCAUGGGUUCUGCGCCGUAGCUAACGCAUUAAGGCCC